rnacentral:misc_RNA from 1 species
AAGUCGUAACAAGGUUUCCGUAGGUGAACCUGCGGAAGGAUCAUUAACACGUUAUCCAACGUAUUAAACCAAACGCGAACUGUUCUCCCUAGCAAAAUAAGUUCAACUGUACUUGGGAAUUUUUGGUGGGUAGGCUUCGGCUUACAAUUCUCAGUACUAAAGGUCCGACCUUAAAGUUGAGAGCUUUUUGCUAGGCUUUUUCUUUCAAUUACAUUCCCAACCAUCCAUAGGGAGUGUAGUUGAAAAACAAACCUAUUUCACAAUUUUUAAGCCAUUUGACUAAUUCUAGUAUUCACUUGGAGAAAUCCUUGUUGAAUCAAACUAAGUUUAUCUUAACUAAGCACAACUCUUAGCAAUGGAUAUCUUGGUUCUC